CCGGGYMAUAGUAUAGCACUUUAUACUGUGAAACUGCGAAUGGCUCAUUAAAUCAGUUAUCGUUUAUUUGAUAGUACCUUACUACAUGGAUACCUGUGGUAAUUCUAGAGCUAAUACAUGCUGAAAACCUCGACUUCGGAAGGGGUGUAUUUAUUAGAUAAAAAACCAAUGCCCUUCGGGGCUCCUUGGUGAAUCAUAAUAACUUAACGAAUCGCAUGGCCUUGCGCCGGCGAUGGUUCAUUCAAAUUUCUGCCCUAUCAACUUUCGAUGGUAGGAUAGUGGCCUACCAUGGUGGCAACGGGUAACGGGGAAUUAGGGUUCGAUUCCGGAGAGGGAGCCUGAGAAACGGCUACCACAUCCAAGGAAGGCAGCAGGCGCGCAAAUUACCCAAUCCCGACACGGGGAGGUAGUGACAAUAAAUACUGAUACGGGGCUCUUUUGGGUCUCGUAAUUGGAAUGAGUACAAUCUAAAUCCCUUAACGAGGAACAAUUGGAGGGCAAGUCUGGUGCCAGCAGCCGCGGUAAUUCCAGCUCCAAUAGCGUAUAUUAAAGUUGUUGCAGUUAAAAAGCUCGUAGUUGAACCUUGGGUCUGGCUGGCCGGUCCGCCUCACCGCGAGUACUGGUCCGGCUGGACCUUUCCUUCUGGGGAAUCUCAUGGCCUUCACUGGCUGUGGGGGGAACCAGGACUUUUACUGUGAAAAAAUUAGAGUGUUCAAAGCAGGCCUUUGCUCGAAUACAUUAGCAUGGAAUAAUAGAAUAGGACGUGCGGUUCUAUUUUGUUGGUUUCUAGGACCGCCGUAAUGAUUAAUAGGGAUAGUCGGGGGCGUCAGUAUUCAGCUGUCAGAGGUGAAAUUCUUGGAUUUGCUGAAGACUAACUACUGCGAAAGCAUUCGCCAAGGAUGUUUUCAUUAAUCAGGAACGAAAGUUAUGGGAUCGAAGACGAUCAGAUACCGUCGUAGUCUUAACCAUAAACUAUGCCGACUAGGGAUCGGACGGUGUUUCUAUUAUGACCCGUUCGGCACCUUACGAGAAUCAAAGUUUUUGGGUUCUGGGGGGAGUAUGUCGCAGGCUGAAACUUAAGAAAUGGACGAGCACACAGCGUGGAGCUGCGCUUAAUGACUCACACGGGAACUCCACCAGACCGACCAAAUWAGGGAA
rnacentral:rRNA from 1 species